GCACUGCUGAGGAGUCCCAUACUAGGACGAAACGGCCGUCCAGUCC
rfam:Schistosoma margrebowiei strain Zambia genome assembly, scaffold: SMRZ_scaffold0001962